rnacentral:rRNA from 1 species
UACGGGGGGGGCAAGCGUUGUUCGGAAUUACUGGGCGUAAAGGGCUCGUAGGCGGCCAACUAAGUCAGACGUGAAAUCCCUCGGCUUAACCGGGGAACUGCAUCUGAUACUGGAUGGCUUGAGUUUGGGAGAGGGAUGCGGAAUUCCAGGUGUAGCGGUGAAAUGCGUAGAGAUCGGGAGGAACACCAGUGGCGAAGGCGGCUCACUGGUCCGGUACUGACGCUGAGGUGCGAAAGCGUGGGGAGCAAACAGG